ensembl:lncRNA
GUAAACCAGCAGAAGAUCCUGAGGCAGGAAGUAGGAGCCAGUGGGUAACGCCAAAGGGGCGUGGACUUCAAAACAGGAAAGGAAGGAGCUAUUGGGGCCUCUAAGUUCCAAAAAGCACAAGCCAACUCGGCUCUGUGCAGACAAACACAUAUAAGGACAGCAGCUGGGGUGACCACCACUGACGACCAUUUCAACGCCACUGACCCAAACAACGUUUUCUCCAAACCAGUGACUGAGCUGGACAGACCUCCUGCGGGGGAGUUCACAGCGGGCAGGCCCAGAAACACUCUCAUUUCUGUCAAAGCCGGAAACAACCACUUCUCAACCUUUCUGGAAUUCCUGGUGACUUUGUAGUUUGCCUGUGUUUGUUAUUUUUGCUAACUCCUGUUU